AUUGAACGCUGGCGGCAGGCCUAACACAUGCAAGUCGAGCGGAGCGGCGGACGGGUGAGUAAUGCCUAGGAAUCUGCCUGGUAGUGGGGGAUAACGUCCGGAAACGGGCGCUAAUACCGCAUACUAUCAGAUGAGCCUAGGUCGGAUUAGCUAUUUGGUGGGGGAAAGGCCUACCAAGGCGACGAUCCGUAACUGGUCUGAGAGGAUGAGCAGUCAAACUGGAACUGAGACACGGUCCAGACUCCUACGGGAGGCAGCAGUGGGGAAUAUUGGACAAGGGGCGAAAGCCUGAUCCAGACAUGCCGCGUGUGUGAAGAAGGUCUUCGGAUGGUAAAGAACUUUAAGUGGGGAGGAGGUAAAAAAAGAAUAAGCACCGGCUAACUUCGUGCCAGCAGCCGCGGUAAUAG
rnacentral:rRNA from 1 species